rnacentral:rRNA from 1 species
AGAGUUUGAUCAUGGCUCAGGACGAACGCUGGCGGCGUGCUUAACACAUGCAAGUCGAGCGAGGAGCUUGCUCCUAGCGGCGAACGGGUGAGUAACACGUGGGCAACCUGCCCCGAGCUCUGGGAUAACUCCGGGAAACCGGAGCUAAUACCGGAUAUGACUUCGAUAGGCAUCUUUCGAAGUGCAAAGAUUUAUCGGCUCGGGAUGGGCCCGCGGCCUAUCAGCUUGUUGGUGGGGUAACGGCCUACCAAGGCGACGACGGGUAGCCGGCCUGAGAGGGCGACCGGCCACACUGGGACUGAGACACGGCCCAGACUCCUACGGGAGGCAGCAGUGGGGAAUAUUGCGCAAUGGGCGAAAGCCUGACGCAGCGACGCCGCGUGAGGGAUGAAGGCCUUCGGGUUGUAAACCUCUUUCAGCAGGGACGAAGCGAAAGUGACGGUACCUGCAGAAGAAGCACCGGCCAACUACGUGCCAGCCGCCGCGGUAAUAC